GGCGAAGGGGCAGCAAUGUCACUGUCGUACGGGUGCGUAACGCGUAUGCAACCUACCUAUCACUGGGGGAUAGCCCGGGGAAACCCGGAUUAAUACCGCAUAAAACAGGGGCACCGCAUGGUGAUAUUUGUUAAAGAUUUAUUGGUGAUAGAUGGGCAUGCGUUCGAUUAGCUAGUUGGCGGGGUAACGGCCCACCAAGGCGACGAUCGAUAGGGGAGCUGAGAGGUUGAUCCCCCACACGGGCACUGAGAUACGGGCCCGACUCCUACGGGAGGCAGCAGUAGGGAAUAUUGGGCAAUGGAUGCAAGUCUGACCCAGCCAUGCCGCGUGCCGGAUGAAGGCCCUCAGGGUUGUAAACGGCUUUUAUUCGGGAAGAAGAGCAGGGAUGCGUCCUUGUGUGACGGUACCGAAUGAAUAAGCACCGGCUAACUCCGUGCCAGCAGCCGCGGUAAUACGGAGGGUGCGAGCGUUGUCCGGAUUUAUUGGGUUUAAAGGGUGCGUAGGUGGCUGUUUAAGUCAGUGGUGAAAUACGGUUGCUCAACAAUCGAGGUGCCAUUGAUACUGAAUAGCUUGAAAUAAUUGGAGGCUGCCGGAAUGGAUGGUGUAGCGGUGAAAUGCAUAGAUAUCAUCCAGAACACCGAUUGCGAAGGCAGGUGGCUACGAUUGGUUUGACACUGAGGCACGAAAGCAUGGGGAGCAAACAGGAUUAGAUACCCUGGUAGUCCAUGCUGUAAACGAUGAGGACUCGCUGUUUGAUGGCAACAUUGAGCGGCUUAGGGAAACCG
rnacentral:rRNA from 1 species